AAUGAACGCUGGCGGCAGGCCUAACACAUGCAAGUCGAACGAGUGGCGGACGUGUGAGUAAUGCUUGGGACUCACGCUUAUGGCGGGGGUUACUUCCGGGAACCGGUAGCUAAUACCGCUAACCAUACGAUGAGCCCAAGUUGGAUUAGGUAGUUGGUAAGGUAAAGGCUCACCAAGUCGACGAUCUAUAGCUGGUCUGAGAGGAUGACCGGCCACACUGGGACUGAGACACGGCCCAGACUCCUACGGGAGGCAGCAGUGGGGAAUAUUGCGCAAUGGGGGAAAGCUGACGCAGCCAUGCCGCGUGAGUGAAGAAGGUCUUCGGGUUGUAAAGUUCUUUCGGUAGCGAGGCGUUAUCUACAGAGGAAGCAACGGCUAACUCCGUGCCAGCAGCCGCGGUAAUUC
rnacentral:rRNA from 1 species